GACGAACGCUGGCGGCGUGCUUAACACAUGCAAGUCGAACGGAAAGGCCCUGCUUUUGUGGGGUGCUCGAGUGGCGAACGGGUGAGUAACACGUGAGUAACCUGCCCUUGACUUUGGGAUAACUUCAGGAAACUGGGGCUAAUACCGGAUAGGAGCUCCUGCUGCAUGGUGGGGGUUGGAAAGUUUCGGCGGUUGGGGAUGGACUCGCGGCUUAUCAGCUUGUUGGUGGGGUAGUGGCUUACCAAGGCUUUGACGGGUAGCCGGCCUGAGAGGGUGACCGGCCACAUUGGGACUGAGAUACGGCCCAGACUCCUACGGGAGGCAGCAGUGGGGAAUAUUGCACAAUGGGCGGAAGCCUGAUGCAGCAACGCCGCGUGCGGGAUGACGGCCUUCGGGUUGUAAACCGCUUUCGCCUGUGACGAAGCGUGAGUGACGGUAAUGGGUAAAGAAGCACCGGCUAACUACGUGCCAGCAGCCGCGGUGAUACGUAGGGUGCGAGCGUUGUCCGGAUUUAUUGGGCGUAAAGGGCUCGUAGGUGGUUGAUCGCGUCGGAAGUGUAAUCUUGGGGCUUAACCCUGAGCGUGCCUUCGAUACGGGUUGACUUGAGGAAGGUAGGGGAGAAUGGAAUUCCUGGUGGAGCGGUGGAAUGCGCAGAUAUCAGGAGGAACACCAGUGGCGAAGGCGGUUCUCUGGGCCUUUCCUGACGCUGAGGAGCGAAAGCGUGGGGAGCGAACAGGCUUAGAUACCCUGGUAGUCCACGCUGUAAACGGUGGGUACUAGGUGUGGGGUCCAUUCCACGGGUUCCGUGCCGUAGCUAACGCUUUAAGUACCCCGCCUGGGGAGUACGGCCGCAAGGCUAAAACUCAAAGGAAUUGACGGGGCCCCGCACAAGCGGCGGAGCAUGCGGAUUAAUUCGAUGCAACGCGUAGAACCUUACCUGGGUUUGACAUGGAUCGGGAGUGCUCAGAGAUGGGUGUGCCUCUUUUGGGGUCGGUUCACAGGUGGUGCAUGGCUGUCGUCAGCUCGUGUCGUGAGAUGUUGGGUUAAGUCCCGCAACGAGCGCAACCCUUGUUCACUGUUGCCAGCACGCUAUGGUGGGGACUCAGUGGAGACCGCCGGGGUCAACUCGGAGGAAGGUGGGGAUGACGUCAAGUCAUCAUGCCCCUUAUGUCCAGGGCUUCACGCAUGCUACAAUGGCUGGUACAGAGAGUGGCGAGCCUGUGAGGGUGAGCGAAUCUCGGAAAGCCGGUCUCAGUUCGGAUUGGGGUCUGCAACUCGACCUCAUGAAGUCGGAGUCGCUAGUAAUCGCAGAUCAGCAACGCUGCGGUGAAUACGUUCCCGGG
rnacentral:rRNA from 1 species